CUAUACAUGCAGUCGAGCGAGAAGACGUAGCAAUACGUUUGUAAAGCGGCGAACGGGUGAGGAAUACAUGGGUAACCUACCCUCGAGUGGGGAAUAACUAACCGAAAGGUUAGCUAAUACCGCAUACGGCUCCUGGUCUGCGGAUCGGGAGAGAAAGCGAUACCGUGGGUAUCGCGCUCUUGGAUGGGCUCAUGUCCUAUCAGCUUGUUGGUGAGGUAACGGCUCACCAAGGCUUCGACGGGUAGCUGGUCUGAGAGGACGAUCAGCCACACUGGCACUGCGACACGGGCCAGACUCCUACGGGAGGCAGCAGUAAGGAAUAUUGCGCAAUGGGCGACAGCCUGACGCAGCGACGCCGCGUGGGGGAUGAAGGUCUUCGGAUUGUAAACCCCUUUCGGCAGGGAAGAUGGAACGGGUAACCGUUCGGACGGUACCUGCAGAAGCAGCCGCGGCUAACUUCGUGCCAGCAGCCGCGGUAAUACGAAGGUGGCAAGCGUUGUUCGGAUUUACUGGGCGUACAGGGAGCGUAGGCGGUU
rnacentral:rRNA from 1 species